rnacentral:rRNA from 1 species
AUUGAACGCUGGCGGUAUGCUUAACACAUGCAAGUCGAACGGUAACAGGCCUUCGGGCGCUGACGAGUGGCGGACGGGUGCGUAACGCGUAGGAAUCUGCCUGUUAGUGGGGGACAACGUGGGGAAACUCACGCUAAUACCGCAUACGCCCUACGGGGGAAAGCGGGGGACCUUCGGGCCUCGCGCUAACAGAUGAGCCUGCGUUGGAUUAGCUAGUUGGUAGGGUAAAGGCCUACCAAGGCGACGAUCCAUAGCUGGUCUGAGAGGACGAUCAGCCACACUGGGACUGAGACACGGCCCAGACUCCGACGGGAGGCAGCAGUGGGGAAUAUUGGACAAUGGGCGAAAGCCUGAUCCAGCAAUACCGCGUGUGUGAAGAAGGCCUGAGGGUUGUAAAGCACUUUUAAUCGGGAGGAACAUCUGCGGGCCAAUACCCCGUAGUCUGACAUUACCGAUAGAAAAAGCACCGGCUAACUCCGUGCCAGCCGCCGCGGUAAGAC